GGAGUCUAAUUCAAAACCCCCAAACCACCACUUGCAGAGUUAGCAACUCAUCAGCUUCUACAGGUGCACGGCAAUGAACGCGAGAAGGUUUUUAGCUACACUAGCACCGAACAUCUGAGAGCAGAAUCUGUUUCCCAGGAUUCACCAUGACCCUUUCCAAACAGCUCUAGAGUCUUGUUUUGUCAUUCAGACUGCAUGGCUGAUUCCCCAGGCAGAAAACAGUGAAAGGAAGACAUCUUGUAAAUCUGCCCCUUAACUCAGCCCUGCCAGAAGUGACCGAGGUCGGCUCUAGCCGGUCUCCUGUCCUCUCUGUGACUUCGAGGCCGAAGUUGCCUGAGUCGUCCAUUCCUGAAGAGAGGAGGCAGAGCCAACCUCUUGUUCCCGCAGAACUGAUUUGAUAUCGAUUUGAAUAAAGGCAUCUGCUGCCAUUUUAUUAAGCGCCCUAUUUAAUCUCCAUGUCCCUGCUUCCACUUUCUCUUAAUAUCAACUGUCCUUGUCCCCUUUCAAAGUCAGAGUGACUCGGAAUCGC
rnacentral:lncRNA from 1 species